AUACGUAGGGAGCAAGCGUUAUCCGGAAUUAUUGGGUGUAAAGGGUGCGUAGACGGGAAUACAAGUUGGUUGUGAAAUCCCUCGGCUCAACUGAGGAACUGCAACCAAAACUAUAUUUCUUGAGUGCAGGAGAGGAAAGCGGAAUUCCUAGUGUAGCGGUGAAAUGCGUAGAUAUUAGGAGGAACACCAGUGGCGAAGGCGGCUUUCUGGACUGUAACUGACGUUGAGGCACGAAAGUGUGGGGAGC
rnacentral:rRNA from 1 species